GUAGAUAGGUUGGAGGUGGAAGUGCAGCAAUGCAUGGAGCUGACCAAUACUAAUCGGUCGAGGGCUUAUCCAAAAAACACCC
rnacentral:rRNA from 1 species